rnacentral:rRNA from 1 species
GACGAACGCUGGCGGCGUGCUUAACACAUGCAAGUCGAGCGGUAAGGCCCCUUCGGGGGUACACGAGCGGCGAACGGGUGAGUAACACGUGAGCAAUCUGCCCAUCACAUCGGGAUAACUCCGGGAAACCGAAGCUAAUACCGAAUACGACCACCUCCGGCAUCGGAUGGUGGUGGAAAGUUCCGGCGGUGAUGGAUGAGCUCGCGGCCUAUCAGCUUGUUGGUGGGGUAACGGCCCACCAAGGCUCCGACGGGUAGCCGGCCUGAGAGGGUGACCGGCCACACUGGGACUGAGACACGGCCCAGACUCCUACGGGAGGCAGCAGUGGGGAAUAUUGGACAAUGGGCGAAAGCCUGAUCCAGCAACGCCGCGUGAGGGAUGACGGCCUUCGGGUUGUAAACCUCUUUCAGCAGGGACGAAGCGCAAGUGACGGUACCUGCAGAAGAAGCACCGGCCAACUACGUG